rnacentral:rRNA from 1 species
GACGAACGCUGGCGGCGUGCUUAACACAUGCAAGUCGAACGGUGAAGGGGUCUGCUUUUGUGGGCCCUGGAUGAGUGGCGAACGGGUGAGUAACACGUGAGUAACCUGCCCCCUUCUUCUGGAUAACCGCAUGAAAGUGUGGCUAAUACGGGAUAUUCUGGGUCUGUCGCAUGAUGGGUCUGGGAAAGAUUGCGCCUUUGGGUGUUUUUGGUGGGGGAUGGGCUCGCGGCCUAUCAGCUUGUUGGUGGGGUGAUGGCCUACCAAGGCGGUAACGGGUAGCCGGCCUGAGAGGGUGGACGGUCACACUGGGACUGAGACACGGCCCAGACUCCUACGGGAGGCAGCAGUGGGGAAUAUUGCACAAUGGGCGCAAGCCUGAUGCAGCGACGCCGCGUGAGGGAUGGAGGCCUUCGGGUUGUAAACCUCUUUCGCCAGUGAAGCAGGCCUGCUCCUUGUGGGUGGGUUGACGGUAGCUGGAUAAGAAGCGCCGGCUAACUACGUG